GGAUCUGUAGUCAGGAACUCUAACCACUAGACCACAGAGGCACAUAAUCACAAGGUAGAGACACAAAAUUAUUUUGGCAAACAACCAAAAGGACAAUAAAGAAGUCAUCUCUUUUCUUUAUGAGUUAUGCUGUGAUUUGACUGCUUCUGAGUUCAAACUUUAUGCUCUCUAACACACCACAUAAAUUUAAUGGACUUCACUGUCAGACUGUUAGUAAUUUUAAGUAUCAUUAUUCAGACAACAUUAUGAAUAUAAUGUUUACUUUUAGAGAGACUGGAUUGCACAUGAGAUAUUCACAUCAGACUUAGGCAAAUACAGCACUUAUCGUAUGAUCCAUAAUAUAAUUUGCAACAUUUGUUCUUACACAUAUUCAAAGAUUGUCACUGCAUUGAAAACUGACACAAUAAGGACCAUGUUUUUUGCAGCAGAUUGUUAUUUGUACAUCUCUACUCAUCAUGUACACACAACACACCAUUUUGAUGUUGACUCAGUUCUACUGCUUAUUACACUGGAUGACUGUGGGCAAUGCUGCUUGAUGUUUCAGAGGUAUAGCCUGGCUCUAGUUUCAGGGUUGAAGUGUGUAAGGUUAGUGAAUUUCUGUGUAUAUAGUGUGUAUGUUCAAGUUUUGAAAAGAUGAGGUUGGGGAGGAUGAGAGAAGAGUGGGGGUUGGUGCAUCAUCAGGACCAAGAGGUACAGUGAAUCAGGAUAGUUGUGCAACCAACACUUUCAAAGGCUAUGGAGUGCAGUAGAAAAUAGUGAGCAACUGAUGUUCCCAUGCAGUCACAAAUCCAAGUGCUCAUGCACCCAACAAGACUCUGAAACACAACACCCUAUAUAUACACAGAAAUUCACCCACCUUACGUACACUGACCAUGAAGAUGGAGGCAGUAUAUACCUCUAAAACAUCAGCAACAUGCCCAUAUCCACAUGGUGUAACAACCCAAGAACAAAAUUUACAUCAACUGCUAAUUACUGUGAAAGCUUAAAAUCAGUAACAGGCCAUUUUCUAAUUCAACGUUUCCAGUUGAUGGGUUUUGGGUUUUAUACACAGUUUACCUUUGAAAAGGAGGGCAAAAAAAAAGAUUUCUUUUUUGCAAUAUUCAUUAUGUUAAGUUAUGUUUCAUAUUUUGCGAAAUAUCAACCAACAUUUUACAAGAAACUGUGGAUAUUUCAAUUAAAUAUCCUAUUUAAUGCUAGAUAUGAUUACAAAGUCUGACUGAAACACAAAACAAUAGUAGUACUCAUAUAUAACUGGACUGUCAUUCUGGUUCUGCCAGUAUAGUUAAAAUUAUUGACCAGUGCUGACCGAAAUAUAUAAACACACAAGUUAUACUGCAUGAUAUAUUGGUAAUACUUUUCCUUCAAUGGGGGCUGCUAAUUUUUGUAAGAAACAGCAAUACUCUUCAUAUUUGUUCUUGAUGAAAAAUAGUUUUAAAACACAUAACAACAAUACUUAAAUUCAAUAUGCUUAAAAUACUGCAUACAAACAGCAUAAUAAAUAGGAAAUGUCAUUAGAAUAACACUACCUGAACAAAAUACUGUAAUUAUUUCAGAUACCAUUCCAAUAAUUCUGCAGUUUACUAUUACUGUGGUUCCAAUUACAGAUUCAACUUUCACUCCAAGUUAUAAACUGUUUCAUAUUUAGAUGCUUGAAAGAUCUAGCAAACAAUCUAACAUACAUCAGCAAAUGCACAAAUCAUUCUGAGGAAUUUCUUUGUAAGUUAGAUACUGACUUGUGUCUGUAACCACAUAAUUUCUUUUUGUCCAGAACAUUUGCAACACUUUCUCUACCCAUAACAGUCCCAUGUAUUUAUCUGGUUCCUCUGCUAGGUACUGAAACUUUAUCAUUAUAAAAACUUAAUACCAUAUAACAGAACUUAUUCAUACAUCCAUCAUCACAAAGAUGAGUAAGAAAAUUGAAAAUUUCUAUUAUUUGUGACAUAAUGCUGUGUAGUCAGUUGAAAGCAAACCAAUAUUUUACAGGAACAUGCAGUCUCCAUCUUCAAGCUGGAGGAGUAAGCCUAGCAUGAAACCAGUAUGAAGCAUGCACCAAGCAGGUUUACUCUUCAUCUCUGAAGAUGGAGGUGACAUGUUCCUCCAAAAUGUAAGAUGAAUGUCAACACACUAUACCAUGUUACAUCCAAGAAAACAGAACUCUUCAUAGAUACUAGUGCGAGAAUCUCAAAUACUAUAUGAUAACAAAAUUUAUGUUUCAUAUUUGCACAUUAUGUAAAAUCCAUUAGAGAUAUCACAGUGUCUUUUUCCCAUUCUUCUUCCCUUGUGUUACCAAAAUAUUUAAAACACUGUUCUUUUACGAAUAUAUAUAGUGUUUGCCUUAUAAGUAUAAUAAAUUUUAUUUAUAAGAAAGUUAAAAUUAAAGUUGUCCCUAUACCUAAAUUAAAGGUUAGAGUCUUCAGCACUAAUGGAGGUUAAUGGUAUAGUGCAUGCUUGAGAUGCUCUGCUCUUCAGUAAUGAAACUUUACAACCCCUGGAUAGGAGGCUGUGUUAGUCUUGGGGACAUUUUGGAUGUGGUGGUGAAGACAGAAAUCCUAGCCCAUUGUCUCUCACAUUACUGAAAUAUAAGAAACUCAAAAUCCAUUUUAUUUCAACUCUUGAGGGAAUUCUGAAUUAAUCUUCAACUGAUCAUAUCAAAGAACAUCAACAUGUGAGAUACUGCUAUCAUGUUCACUGUUGUCUCGUAAUGUGGGAGCACUUGAUUCCUUCACCUGACCAUACAGGGAAAUCAGGGAGGUUUAUGAGACUGUUAACUGAAGACAGUCAUCAUGAACUAACCUUAUAAGGUUAGACCUCUAAACAGAAUCUAAAUAAGUUACAUUUGUUGAAAUAUUAGUUAGGUUUAAAUGAUGCUUAUAUUAACUAUAUUAAAUAAUUCAUAUAUGCCUCAAGGAAUUCAGUCUACUUCAUUUCCUAUUAAGAUUACUUUUCAUGGUUUAUCAUUUUCAAUGGGUAUUAUCAUAUAUAUCCAAAACUUAAUGAAGCAGUUUCUUAAACAGUGACUUCUAAAACCUUUUAAAAUAUCUGCUUCUACUUAUCAUUAUUCUUUUCUACUUAAAUUACCAAGGUCAUGGGAAUGUAACAACAUGGGAAAGUUGAACAAGUGAAUAAUUGAUUGCUAUGAAAGGUAUUUCUGGCAAUAUAUUGUGACAUGUUGCCUAAAAGCCGGACUAUGGAACAUCCAUCAUGGCACAAAUGGGAAGGAGAACGCAUACUUCAGUGUUCGUUGCUGGUCAACGGAAAACAUUUCCUACACAACGGAAUGUAAUGCAAUACUGGAAUUCUAACAGUAAGUUUCCAUGGCUACAAUGAAUUGUUCAAAGCACUGUAUGACAACGGGAAAACCAAACUGUUGAGAAAGAUGUUCCAUAAGCAGUCUGCAAAAGGCUUAUUUAAGGAGGUACAUUCAACCAUG